CCCUGACAGACUCAUUGGGAGUCUGACACUAGCCAAGACAGGAGAUCUAAAUG
rnacentral:ncRNA from 1 species